rnacentral:rRNA from 1 species
UGCCAGCCGUCGCGGUAAUACGGAGGAUGCAAGCGUUAUCCGGAUUUAUUGGGUUUAAAGGGUCCGUAGGCGGAACUUUAAGUCAGUGGUGAAAGCCUACAGCUUAACUGUAGAACUGCCAUUGAUACUGAAGUUCUUGAAUAUAUAUGAAGUGGGCGGAAUGCGUCAUGUAGCGGUGAAAUGCACAGAUAUGACGCAGAACACCAAUUGCGAAGGCAGCUCACUAAUGUAUUAUUGACGCUGAGGGACGAAAGCAUGGGGAGCGAACAGGAUUAGAUA